rnacentral:rRNA from 1 species
GUCGUAACAAGGUUUCCGUAGGUGAACCUGCGGAAGGAUCAUUAGUGAACGCCCUCACGGGCUUAUAACUAUUCCAAACCUCUGUGAACCGUGCCCUUCGGGGCUAUUUUACAAACAUGGUGUAAUGAACGUCAUAUAUCAUAACAAAACAAAACUUUCAACAACGGAUCUCUUGGCUCUCGCAUCGAUGAAGAACGCAGCGAAAUGCGAUAAGUAAUGUGAAUUGCAGAAUUCAGUGAAUCAUCGAAUCUUUGAACGCACCUUGCGCCCUCUGGUAUUCCGGAGGGCAUGCCUGUUUGAGUGUCAUGUAGACUCAAUCCCUCGGGUUUCCGAGGAGGUUGGACUUGGGUGUUGCCGCUCUGCCGGCUCGCCUUAAAAGACUUAGCGGGAUAGCACCGUAGUCGGCGUAAUAAGUUUCGUCGGUGAAGGUUGUGAUGACUGCUUACAAUCGCCCUCGGGCAAUUUUUGACUCUGACCUCAAAUCAGGUAGGACUACCCGCUGAACUUAAGCAUAUCAAUAAGCGGAGGAAAAGAAACUAACAAGGAUUCCCCUAGUAGCGGCGAGCGAGGCGGGAAGAGCUCAAAUUUGAAAGCUGGCGUCCUUCGGGCGUCCGCAUUGUAAUCUAUAGAGGCGUUUUC